rnacentral:rRNA from 1 species
AGUGAACGCUGGCGGUAGGCCUAACACAUGCAAGUCGAACGGCAGCACAGUAAGAGCUUGCUCUUACGGGUGGCGAGUGGCGGACGGGUGAGGAAUACAUCGGAAUCUACUUUUUCGUGGGGGAUAACGUAGGGAAACAUACGCUAAUACCGCAUACGACCUACGGGUGAAAGCAGGGGAUCUUCCGACCUUGCGCGAUUGAAUGAGGCGAUGUCGGAUUAGCUAGUUGGCGGGGUAAAGGCCCACCAAGGCGACGAUCCGUAGCUGGUCUGAGAGGAUGAUCAGCCACACUGGAACUGAGACACGGUCCAGACUCCUACGGGAGGCAGCAGUGGGGAAUAUUGGACAAUGGGCGCAAGCCUGAUCCAGCCAUGCCGCGUGGGUGAAGAAGGCCUUCGGGUUGUAAAGCCCUUUUGUUGGGAAAGAAAAGCAGCAGGUUAAUACCCCGCUGUUCUGACGUUACCCAAAGAAUAAGCACCGGCUAACUUCGUG